UGAGGAAUAUUGGGCAAUGCCCGAAAGGGUGACCCAGCAACGCCGCGUGGAGGAUGAAGGUCGUAAGAUUGUAAACUCCUGUUAGAGGGGAAGAAUAACUAAGUUUGGAGCUUAGUAUGACUGUACCCUCAGAGAAAGCCCCGGCUAACUACGUGCCAGCAGCCGCGGUAAUACGUAGGGUGCGAGCGUUAAUCGGAAUUACUGGGCGUAAGCGUGCGCAGGCGGUUUCGUAAGACAGAUGUGAAAUCCCCGGGCUUAACCUGGGAACUGCGUUUGUGACUGCGAGACUUGAGUGCGGCAGAGGGGGGUGGAAUUCCACGGUGUAGCAGUGAAAUGCGUAGAGAUGUGGAGGAACACCGAUGGCGAAGGCAGCCCCCUGGGUCGACACUGACGCUCAUGCACGAAAGCGUGGGGAGCAAACAGGAUUAGAGACCCUGGUAG
rnacentral:rRNA from 1 species